rnacentral:rRNA from 1 species
AAUGAACGCUGGCGGCAUGCCUAACACAUGCAAGUCGAACGAAGGCUUCGGCCUUAGUGGCGCACGGGUGCGUAACGCGUGGGAAUCUGCCCUCAGGUUCGGAAUAACAGCGAGAAAUUGCUGCUAAUACCGGAUGAUAUCGCGAGAUCAAAGAUUUAUCGCCUGAGGAUGAGCCCGCGUAGGAUUAGCUAGUUGGUGUGGUAAAGGCGCACCAAGGCGACGAUCCUUAGCUGGUCUGAGAGGAUGAUCAGCCACACUGGGACUGAGACACGGCCCAGACUCCUACGGGAGGCAGCAGUGGGGAAUAUUAGACAAUGGGCGAAAGCCUGAUCCAGCAAUGCCGCGUGAGUGAUGAAGGCCUUAGGGUUAUAAAGCUCUUUUACCCGGGAUGAUAAUGACAGUACUGGGAGAAUAAGCUCCGGCUAACUCCGUGCCAGCCGCCGCCGUAA